UACGUAGGGUGCAAGCGUUGUCCGGAAUUAUUGGGCGUAAAGGGCUCGUAGGCGGUUUGUCGCGUCGGGAGUGAAAACAUCUGGCUUAACUGGGUGCUUGCUUUCGAUACGGGCAGACUGGAGGUAUGCAGGGGAGAACGGAAUUCCUGGUGUAGCGGUGAAAUGCGCAGAUAUCAGGAGGAACACCGGUGGCGAAGGCGGUUCUCUGGGCAUUACCUGACGCUGAGGAGCGAAAGUGUGGGGAGCGAACAGG
rnacentral:rRNA from 1 species